CUGGCUCAGGACGAACGCUGGCGGCGUGCUUAACACAUGCAAGUCGAACGAGGAUUAUUGAGCGGAAGGCUUCGGCCGGAAGGUUGAUAAUUCGAGUGGCGGACGGGUGAGUAACGCGUGAACAAUCUGUCCCAGACAGGGGGAUAACACUUGGAAACAGGUGCUAAUACCGCAUAAGACCACGGUAUCGCAUGGUACAGGGGUAAAAGGAGCAAUCCGGUUUGGGGUGAGUUCGCGUCCGAUUAGCCAGUUGGGGGGUAACGGCCCACCAAAGCGACGAUCGGUAGCCGACCUGAGAGGGUGAUCGGCCACAUUGGAACUGAGAGACGGUCCAAACUCCUACGGGAGGCAGCAGUGGGGAAUAUUGGGCAAUGGGCGAAAAAGCCUGACCCAGCAACGCCGCGUGAGUGAAGAAGGCCCUCGGGUUGUAAAGCUCUGUUAUAGGGGACGAAGGAAGUGACGGUACCCUAUAAGGAAGCCCCGGCUAACUACGUGCCAGCCGCGGC
rnacentral:rRNA from 1 species